rnacentral:rRNA from 1 species
UACGAAGGGGGCUAGCGUUGCUCGGAAUCACUGGGCGUAAAGCGCACGUAGGCGGACUCUUAAGUCGGUGGUGAAAUCCUGGAGCUCAACUCCAGAACUGCCUUUGAUACUGAGGAGCUCGAGUCCGGGAGAGGUGAGUGGAACUGCGAGUGUAGAGGUGAAAUUCGUAGAUAUUCGCAAGAACACCAGUGGCGAAGGCGGCUCACUGGCCCGGUACUGACGCUGAGGUGCGAAAGCGUGGGGAGCAAACAGG